rnacentral:rRNA from 1 species
UACGUAGGGGGCAAGCGUUAUCCGGAAUCAUUGGGCGUAAAGAGCGCGUAGGCGGCUCGGCAAGUCCGCUGUGAAAGUCCAGGGCUCAACCCUGGAAUGCCGGUGGAAACUGUCGAGCUAGAGUCCGGAAGAGGCGAGUGGAAUUCCUGGUGUAGCGGUGAAAUGCGCAGAUAUCAGGAGGAACACCGAUGGCGAAGGCAGCUCGCUGGGACGGUACUGACGCUGAGACGCGAAAGCGUGGGGAGCAAACAGG